UUAGGAAUCUUCCACAAUGGGCGCAAGCCUGAUGGAGCGACGCCGCGUGAGGGACGAAGGCUCUCGAGUCGUAAACCUCUAAAAGGGGGACGAUAAUGACGGUACCCCUUGAAAAGCACCGGCUAACUCAGUGCCAGCAGCCGCGGUAAUACUGAGGGUGCGAGCGUUAUCCGGAAUCACUGGGCGUAAAGGGCGUGUAGGCGGUCUGCUAAGUCCGAUGUUAAAGACCGGGGCUCAACCCCGACACGGCGUUGGAUACUGGCAGGCUAGACGGCUGGAGAGGCAAGUGGAAUUACCAGUGUAGCGGUGGAAUGCGUAGAUACUGGUAGGAACACUCAUUGCGAAGGCAGCUUGCUGGACAGCACGUGACGCUAAGGCGCGAAAGUGUGGGGAGCAAACCGGAUUAGAUACCCGUGUAGUCC
rnacentral:rRNA from 1 species